GAUGAACGCUGGCGGCGUGCCUAAUACAUGCGAGUCGAGCGAACGGACGAGAAGCUUGCUUCUCUGAUGUUAGCGGCGGACGGGUGAGUAACACGUGGAUAACCUACCUAUAAGACUGGGAUAACUUCGGGAAACCGGAGCUAAUACCGGAUGAUAUUUUGAACCGCAUGGUUCAAAAGUGAAAGACGGUCUUGCUGUCACUUAUAGAUGGAUCCGCGCUGCAUUAGCUAGUUGGUAAGGUAACGGCUUACCAAGGCAACGAUGCAUAGCCGACCUGAGAGGGUGAUCGGCCACACUGGAACUGAGACACGGUCCAGACUCCUACGGGAGGCAGCAGUAGGGAAUCUUCCACAAUGGGCGAAAGCCUGACGGAGCAACGCCGCGUGAGUGAUGAAGGUCUUCGGAUCGUAAAACUCUGUUAUUAGGGAAGAACAUAUGUGUAAGUAACUGUGCACAUCUUGACGGUACCUAAUCAGAAAGCCACGGCUAACUACGUG
rnacentral:rRNA from 1 species